UGAUUCUAUAGAACUCAUACAUUUAAUUAUUUACCCUUUAAUCUCAAUACAGAAGGAGCACAAUACAGAGGGAGCAGCAGCUGGAGAGACACCUGGGGAGGGAGAAGUGGAAAGCCUCUAGAUUUCUGCACAGAGCUGACGGGACAGGGAAGCUGAUUGGGUGCCAAGAUCAACGUGAGCACAGGCUUAAAACUCUGAUUGGACAAGGAGCAAUGGCAAAACAAAUGAUGGUGCCAAUGAAGGUGCCAAGGGUGGCUUGAGCGACUGUGGAUAAGUUCUACAGCAAUGCAAGGAACAGAAGCCCCGGAGAAUAAAAUGUGGUUCCUUGGACAAGUGAAUUCUGCAUCUGAUUUAGCGCCCGCCUCGCUGAGACAACUGCCACCUGUUAUUUUCUGCCAGCUCCGUAUUUAUGCUCUGUGACCUGCUCCAGCUGGCGACGGCCUGCAACGUCGAGAUGAAUGAUUCAUUGAAAUGACAAGAUGUGAAUGUAAACAAAUACCACUCAAAUGAUCAACGCCAUUCCGUAUUGGGCAACAGAACCGGUUGCUGCAGGGUUUGUUGGCAUCUCGCUCCUACCUGGGGUUUGGGGGGGACAUAUGUUGGCGUUAUGCUACAUCCGUGUAGCAGUCUGUCUGUCUGGACCCUAAGUAUAUUUUGGUGGUUUAAGAAACAGUGACGCUGGCUGUACUGAAAUGAAAGCUGACAUUGUGCCAGUCUAUGCGUAACACCACCUACUACUCAAUGCCCGGUUAGGUUACUGUAAUCUACUACAGAGAGGAACAACAGGAAGUAUUGAGUACAAACAAAUUGCUUCCUUGUAGCUGGACCCAAAGAAAACAUUAGGGGAAAAUUGCCACAUGAAACAAAAAAAAAACAGCAGCAACAGUCACGUCAUACUUACGUCUGACCUAAGGGAACUUGGAAAAGUGCAGGAUAUUAAUAGUCAGUAAAAAGGAGCCAUUAAAGGAGAACUUAAACCUAAUCAUUAUUAGGGGUAGAAAUGCUGUAUAUUAUAUAUUCUGAUCUCCUUGUACCAGCCCAAAGGUUCAGCAGCCCCAUAACAGUUCUGAUCCAGGCCUUCAACGUUCCCCCAGCAGCUCCCCAUCUUGGAUCUUGUUAGGCAUCUUUUGAGUGUCAGUGGCACUGCACAUGCUCAGUGGGCUCUGGGCUGUUGCUGGGAAGCUGAGUUUAGGGAGCUUGGGAAAUCAGCAGAAAGUGAGGUGCAUCUGCAAUAUAAGCUGAUGCUACAGGGUUGAUUGUUAAAUUCUGAUGCAGACUGCACUGAUUUCUGAACUGCCAUGUAAUGUGACUCUCAAUUGGAUCCCUACAGAAAAGAAGAUCAGGAGCUACUGGUGGGAUUUUCAGAUUCUCAGAUUUUCCCUGCUAAAUGGCUGUGGGGACCUUGGGCUGGUACAGAAGUCCGAAUUUUUUGUAGCGUUCUCCUUUAAGGGAAGUGUAGCUUCCCUGUACAAUGAAUUAUAGGACCUUGGACAUUUAAAGACUAGCUCCUACAUCAUGUCCCCUGGGUCUGCCGUUAGCUGGAUCACUUUGCUCAAUAAUCCUUAGGGAUUUGUAUUUUCCACAGAUUUCUCCAGUCUGUCCGGGAAUGUACAGACACUCGCUGGACCCAAACAGACAGAUUUAAUCUUUUUAGCAAUACAGCCAAAGUCUGCUUUCUGUUCAUGUCUUUCUGACCAGAUGCCUAUCUGUAGGAAAGUCCCAGACCCAGUCACUGGGUUGAAGAGGGGUGCCAUAGGCAUCAGGGGGUGCUUCUCUAACAAGGUAGAGCGAUACCAAAUCUCUCCCUAACUGGCCUUCAUGCUGGCCCCCCUUAGCUCAUAACAAGGUUACAGAUAUAUAGAAACAUUGGGGUAACAGUCAUCCUGCUAUAGUUCCAGGGGUACCCAGGAAACAAAUAAACACUCACCCCAAAUCUCCCCCUAACUGGCCUUCAAUGUGUCUUUUUCUAUUACCAAUGAAAAUUCUAUAAUCAGAACUAAAGCAACUAUUGACUUUUCCUUAAGUUAGAUACUAAUCAUGAUCUCAGUCUAAUGUGGAGGCUCCACCAAAGUUGCAUAAUGCUAAAAAUGUGCUUCUGGGUCUCCUAAGGUCCACCAGGAUGCGACUCAACUGAAGUCAACAGGCUCAAAUGCAAUAAUACAGAUCCAACACUGGAUCUUCCAACUGAAUGGCGACAACCAUAAUUGGGUUAACCUUCUGUGUCACACAACAACCAGUGCCCCGGUCAAAACCCAUAAUUGAGUAAACGCUUUUAAGAAGAUAUUCGCUUGGUGGUGCUGUCAACUGGAUGUGUAACCUUCUAUGUCAUCUAUGGUCCAACUUUUGUUGUAAUGAUGACUUCUCCCUAAAGCUUGUGUGGUCUCCUAUGGUUCCAAAUCCCACAGCACGGCACCCUACAUAUAGCAGCUAUAUUUUGGAGAAAAAUA